UGGGGAAUUUUGCACAAUGGGGGCAACCCUGAUGCAGCGACGCCGCGUGAUUUAGAAGGCCUUCGGGUUGUAAAAAUCUUUUCUAUGGGAAGAAAAUGACAGUACCAUAGGAAUAAGGACCGGCUAAUUACGUGCCAGCAGCCGCGGUAAUGCGUAAGGUCCGAGCGUUGUCCGGAAUCAUUGGGCGUAAAGGGUACGUAGGCGGGUAAGCAAGUUAGAAGUGAAAUCCUAUAGCUCAACUAUAGUAAGCUUUUAAAACUGCUCAUCUUGAGGUAUGGAAGGGAAAGUGGAAUUCCUAGUGUAGCGGUGAAAUGCGCAGAUAUUAGGAGGAAUACCGGUGGCGAAGGCGACUUUCUGGCCAUAACCUGACGCUGAGGUACGAAAGCGUGGGUAGCAAACAGG
rnacentral:rRNA from 1 species